GUAAAUACUGUGUCAUAGCAAAUCUUUAUAUUUUGGGAGAUUUCAGAGAAGGAUCAUGCAAUCUGUAUCACCAUGUGGACCCCUUCAUAAAAGGAGACAAAUAUAACUGUAGGUCCCUACUCGAGGAAAAAACUGUAACUGUAUGCUAGUUCUACCUUCCCACUAGCGAGUGCUAUAACUGUAUUCGGUAAUCGGUAAAUAAAAGGUGCACCAGGUCUAACGAACCCACCGUUAGCUACGGGAUCCUUCAAAGUCUCCUCC
rnacentral:lncRNA from 1 species